rnacentral:rRNA from 1 species
AUUGAACGCUGGCGGCAUGCCUUACACAUGCAAGUCGAACGGCAGCACGGGAGCAAUCCUGGUGGCGAGUGGCGAACGGGUGAGUAAAGUAUCGGGACGUGCCCAGUCGUGGGGGAUAACGUAGCGAAAGUUACGCUAAUACCGCAUACGAUCUACGGAUGAAAGCGGGGGAUCGCAAGACCUCGCGCGAUUGGAGCGGCCGAUAUCAGAUUAGGUAGUUGGUGGGGUAAAGGCUCACCAAGCCGACGAUCUGUAGCUGGUCUGAGAGGACGACCAGCCACGCUGGGACUGAGACACGGCCCAGACUCCUACGGGAGGCAGCAGUGGGGGAUUUUGGACAAUGGGCGAAAGCCUGAUCCAGCCAUGCCGCGUGCAGGAUGAAGGCCUUCGGGUUGUAAACUGCUUUUGUACGGAACGAAAAGGUUUGGCCUAAUAAGCUGAGCUCAUGACGGUACCGUAAGAAUAAGCACCGGCUAACUACGUGCCAGCCGCCGCAGUAA